rnacentral:lncRNA from 1 species
UUCCUCUCUGUGAGAGCCCCCUGCACCCCUCCCAUAACCAUUAUGCAUGCCCUCGUUUCCCCCAAAAACCACUGCAGGGUAUCUCAAACACUCAGUGUGGGCCUUCCAUGCUGAUCAGCAGUGAAUAGAGAAAUGUGGCAACUCAUUUAUAGUAGUAUAAAAUGUGGGAAACCCAAAAAGGUUUUGUUUGUUUGUUUGUUUGAGACAGGGUCUUGCCCUGUCACCCAGGCUGAGGUGCAGUGGCACAAUGAUAGCUUACUGCAGCUUAGGCCUCCUCGGCUCAAGCAGUGCUCCCACCUCAACCUCCCAAGUAGCUGGGACCACAGGUUUGCACCACCACACCCAGCUAAUUUUUAAAUUUUUUGUAGAGAUGGGGUCUUGCCAUGUUGCUCAGGCUGGUCUCAAACUCAAGCAAUCUUCCCACCUCAGCCUCCCAAAGUGCUGGAAUUAUAGGCGUGAGCCACCGUGCUGACAACUCAGAAAGUUGUUAAUAAGAGUAAAUCAUAACAGGGGAUUUGAACCAGUCCUGUGAAGAUUACAGGCAGGUCUCCAGCACCCCUGGGGAUCCUUAGAUGUUCAGGAAAAAGCACAAGUUGGCAAAGCCAGGCUUUGAAAUAAAGAGCCAUUCCUGGUAAUAGUUAACUUGAUUCUUCACAUUUAACAGGUGAGACAGGGACAGGCAUAACCCCAAAAUCAUUUAUAUUUGGCUAUGGAAUUUCCGCACGUGACCUAUGUAUAAAUCUUGGGAGCUGAAUCACCUUCAUACCCAUAUUUGUCUUAACUUGAACACUUAUCUGGGUAAUGUGUGGCGAAAAAAAGUGAAACACUCAGGGAACUUGGGGGAACUUGGCUCUGAAUUUUGAACUUACUACAGAUAACUAACUAUCCAGUUAUUA